UACUUACAUUAAAUUUUAAAAUUUCUUUCCCUCUGAUCAAUAAUGAUUCCUUUUAUCCUACUAUAGAAAAAAGCAGUAAGUCCAAAAUGCGUAUUAUUUUAAAAUUUUAAUUCUUUCUCUCCAAUCAAUUUUUUAAAAUAGCGAGUAAGUCAAA